rnacentral:tRNA from 1 species
GUAUGUACCUCAGUGGUAGAGUGCUUGCCUAGCAUAUGCAAAGGCCCUGGGUUCCAUCCCCAGUACCACA